AGAGUUUGAUCCUGGCUCAGAACGAACGCUGGCGGCAGGCCUAACACAUGCAAGUCGAGCGCGCCUUCGGGUGAGCGGCGGACGGGUUAGUAACGCGUGGGAACGUGCCCUUCUCUACGGAAUAGCCUCUGGAAACGGAGAGUAAUACCGUAUACGCCCUUUGGGGGAAAGAUUUAUCGGAGAAGGAUCGGCCCGCGUUAGAUUAGGUAGUUGGUGGGGUAACGGCCUACCAAGCCUACGAUCUAUAGCUGGUUUUAGAGGAUGAUCAGCAACACUGGGACUGAGACACGGCCCAGACUCCUACGGGAGGCAGCAGUGGGGAAUCUUAGACAAUGGGGGCAACCCUGAUCUAGCCAUGCCGCGUGAGUGAUGAAGGCCUUAGGGUCGUAAAGCUCUUUCGCCUGUGGUGAUAAUGACAGUAGCAGGUAAAGAAACCCCGGCUAACUCCGUGGCAGCAGCCGCGGUAAUACGGAGGGGGUUAGCGUUGUUCGGAAUUACUGGGCGUAAAGCGCGCGUAGGCGGAUUAGAAAGUUGGGGGUGAAAUCCCGGGGCUCAACCCCGGAACUGCCUCCAAAACUGCUAGUCUAGAGUUCGAGAGAGGUGAGUGGAAUUCCGAGUGUAGAGGUGAAAUUCGUAGAUAUUCGGAGGAACACCAGUGGCGAAGGCGGCUCACUGGCUCGAUACUGACGCUGAGGUGCGAAAGUGUGGGGAGCAAACAGGAUUAGAUACCCUGGUAGUCCACACCGUAAACGAUGAAUGCCAGUCGUCGGAUAGUAUACUAUUCGGUGACACACCUAACGGAUUAAGCAUUCCGUCUGGGGAGUACGGUCGCAAGAUUAAAACUCAAAGGAAUUGACGG
rnacentral:rRNA from 1 species